AUCUAUGGCCAUACCACUCUUACAGCUCCCAAUCUAGGCUGAUCUCAAAAGCUAAGCAGGGUUAGGCCUGAUUAGUACUUGGAUGGGAGGCCAUCUGGGAGUUCUGGGGCUGGAAGUU
rnacentral:rRNA from 1 species